ACUCCUAUGGGAGGCAGCAGUGCGGCAUCAAACACAAUGGUCGCAAGCUGGAUCCAACCAGCGUGGGCGCAGGAUGGCGGUUCUCUCAGGGCCAAACGGUGAAGGUCAGUGAAGAAUCACCUCUCUCACUGGAGUAAUGACGGUCUACUAAGGCUAACGAUCGGCUAACUCCCUCUCCCCAGCCGCGGUAAU
rnacentral:rRNA from 1 species